ensembl:lncRNA
CCAAUUCAGAAUCUACUGGUCUACAAAGAUCUCAAAUCAUGCCGCAAAUGGCUGAUGGCUGAGGGAAGCGACGUCGAGGAAAUCAUCGACCGGGUGGUACUGGAGCAGUUCGUGGUGCGGCUCCCGAAGAAGACCGCACAAUGGGUCCAGUGCUACCGCCCGACGUCGCUGGACCAGGCCAUCCAACUGGCGGAGGAUCAAAUGGUGGCGUGCCCAGGGGUCGGCGGCGAACCCCUUCCAGCUGCUUCUCUCUCUCCCUCUUCGCCCUCCCCCUCUGGUUUAUCUUCCAGGCCUGUUCCUCUUCCCCGGUCCCGUGGGGGGCUGGUGCCAAGGCCGGCACCCAGGUGGAGAACAGGAGGCCCAGGAGAACCAGGAGUAUCGUUCUGGGCACCUCCCCGGGGAGGGGGCCUAUCCAACGAGCCCUUCACCUCAGCUGCUCCCCCGCCACUCUCUCCACGUCAAUCCCCUGACCAGCUUCCUGCCACCAGGAUGGGGGGAAAGUCUGGGCCGGCUUGUUGGCGCUGCGGGGACCCGGCUCACUUUAUUGAUCAGUGUCUGGUGAUGGAGGUGGGAACGCUGAUCCGGGUCCCCGACGUGCCACAGGCCGCCCCCGAUCAAGCUGGCCAGUACCAGAUACCAGUGAGUAUCAAGGGGGGUACAUAUCAGGCCUUGGUGGAUUCAGGUUGCAACCAAACCUCCAUUCAUCAAGGCAUGAUUCAACCUAGGGCAUUGGAUAAUAGCCGCGUGGUUAAGGUGCGGUGUGUGCAAGGGGAUGUGGUGGAUUAUCCAAUAUUGCCCGUGGAAAUUCAAUUUAGGGGACAAAAACAUAGAAUAGAGGUGGCAGUUAAUCAGCACCUCUGGCAUCCGCUAAUUUUGGGAACCAAUUGGCCAGCCUUUAAUGAGUUAUUGGGAUAUUUGUGUGCGGAUGCCCUUUGGGGAGAAAAGGGUAAGAGGAAGGUAGCGGUGGUUCAGGUAGGAGAAGCUGAGCCGGAACCUGUGGGAGCUGUUUCAGGGGAACCAAGUGCUCUGGAGAGAAUCGUCCUCACCGAGCGCGAUGACUUUCCCCUGGAGCAAUCCCACGAUGAGACGCUAAAACAUGCAUUUGAUCAGGUUUGCUUUAUUGACGGCCAGGUUCUUCACCCUGAACAACCACUCUCCUAUCCUUAUUUUAUGAUUCAGAAAGAUAAGUUGUAUCGGGUGACCCAAGAUGCCCAGUCAAAACAAGAUACAACUCAGUUGUUGGUACCCAAAAGCCGUUGGGAAAUGCUUUUCCAGGCAGCUCACUGUAAUCCAAUGGCCGGACAUUUAGGACAAACGGCUACACUAAACUGCCUAAUGACCCGAUUUUUUUGGCCGGGCAUUGACGAGAACAUGCGCAGGUGGUGCGCGUCUUGUCGUGAAUGUCAGUUGAUGAAUCCACCGGCCAAUCCAAAAGCACCAUUGUGCCCCCUUCCCUUAGUGCAGGUCCCCUUCGAACGAAUUGGCAUGGACCUCAUCGGGCCAUUAGAACGGUCAGCACGGGGACACUGCUAUGCGCUAGUCCUGGUGGAUUAUGCAACACAGUAUCCUGA